rnacentral:rRNA from 1 species
CAUCCAGAGAACUUAGCAGAGAUGCUUUGGUGCCUUUCGGGAACUCUGAGACAGGUGCUGCAUGGCUGUCGUCAGCUCGUGUUGUGAAAUGUUGGGUUAAGUCCCGNAACGAGCGCAACCCUUAUCCUUUGUUGCCAGCGGUUCGGCCGGGAACUCAAAGGAGACUGCCGGUGAUAAACCGGAGGAAGGUGGGGAUGACGUCAAGUCAUCAUGGCCCUUACGGCCAGGGCUACACACGUGCUACAAUGGCGCAUACAAAGAGAAGCGACCUCGCGAGAGCAAGCGGACCUCAUAAAGUGCGUCGUAGUCCGGAUUGGAGUCUGCAACUCGACUCCAUGAAGUCGGAAUCGCUAGUAAUCGUAGAUCAGAAUGCUACGGUGAAUACGUUCCCGGGCCUUGUACACACCGCCCGUCACACCAUGGGAGUGGGUUGCAAAAGAAGUAGGUAGCUUAACCUUCGGGAGGGCGCUUACCACUUUGUGAUUCAUGACUGGGGUGAAGUCGUAACAAGGUAAGCGUAGCGAG